GGUAGUCCACUCCGAAUGCACAAUCCGUAGAUUUCAGAUAAAAUGAGGUCCUAAAGUGGGCCAGGCCGGACCUGUAUGCGCGCCUCAAGUCCAAAAUCCCACCAGCCCACUUCAUUUUUGGAGGUCAUUCAGCGCGUCAGUGAAUCCAGGAGAAAAGAGAGGAGGGAGGUAUUUAGGGUUCAUAUCCUUGACGUUGCUCAAGGAAACUGAGAGCUACAAUGGCUACUUUGGUUGGGAGAUCAACCUGUACACUGAUGCGGGAAACAUUUCCUAGAACAAUUUGUCAAUCAACAAUCAGAAGCAAAAGCAUUUCUAUGCCUCCCUCAAUUCUCCCUAACGCCACUCUACGUGUUUCUCCAUCUUCACCUUCUUCUCCAAGGUUGCCUUUGCUCUCCUUUUUUCCCAUUAAAGCUGUUCCUUUUUUAGUUGCAUGGCUGUAUUUUGUUUCUCGUUUGAAUGGGACAACCACAAAUAAUUGUGCGCAUUGGUCAUAUCGGCAGGAUGGUUUUACGACGAGAAUUGAGCUCACUUCUGCCCUUCCACAGUGCCACUGCUUCAGCUUGCCUUGUCUCCAAGCUUCCCUCUUUAGAUUGUUCCUCCUCUGAAGGUUCUUUCCACAUACACUUCUUGCUAUAACUUCUGGUUCUUAAUAUUAGUUUAGUUAGAGGUCUUCGCUGAUCAAAAGAAUCGUGAAUGACUAUAAUAGUCAUGAAUUGAAUGUUUCUUCUUGUUAUAAGAGGCUUUUGAGUAUUUUGAAUUGAAGUGACAUAGUCAGCUAAUUUCCGGCCAUGGUAAAAAAUUUAGUGCUAAGUAUUGGAUUUGAUGUUUAACAUAUAGAACUAAUGGCCAUAGGAAAAUUAGGAUGAGAACUUGACCUGGUGCUGAGAUGGCUUGGAAUUACUUGUCGAAAUGCUCUGUAGUGGUUUCCUACAGUCAGGCCUAAGAUCAGGCCGAAAGGUAUAAUGGUUCUUGUGCUUAGAGAGACCGUUUGAAGUGGUUUUGGAAUCUUCCCUGUUGUAAAGAUGGAUUAGGGUGCAAAACAAAUGGCUCCAACCCAGUUCUGUAGCAAAAAUUUGAGAGUUGGAAAACGGAAUGUAACUGAAUUGUCAUAUGGUCAAACUUGGGGUUUUGGUUCAUUGAGAUGGAUAGGAAACUUUCUCAAACUGGUGUCUGAACUGAUCCUGAUUCUACAAUUUUAUACAAGCACACCGAGCAAAUACAUGCAAGGGAGACAGAAUAAAUUUAGGUUGUAUCUAAUAUACUCAUGUGGUGGCUCAUUCAGUUUUGUUUCCUGAUUACAGGGAGAUUUGUUAACUAUGUCAGCCCCAUCUAGCUUCAAGUUCUGCUACUGGGAAGAGAUGCGUCAUAGAAUUUGGCUGAGUGAUUUUACAAUGGUAAUCGAAGAACUGGGAUACGAAGUUGCUGGUUUAUUUCUCCAACUGACAAUCUGGCUCCAAGGUUAAUUCCUGAACAUGUUUGUUUAUAUUCUUCGACGCAGCUGCUUGUUAUUGAGCUUGGCCGUGAAUUCAUACUAGUGUCAUCAUUUGGCAAUGAGUAAAAUUUUAAUUACUCGGACCAUAGUGGUAUUUGUAGCAUCAUAUUAUGCAUGCACUUACUGGUGGUGCAAUUUCUGGGUUUAUGGAUUAUAGAGAUAAUACCUUUCUGGAAGCCUGUAUUUGUUUGUACUGUACCUUCUGGUAAAAUGCACUGUUGCUGCGUUGCUGAUAUUCAUCAUAAAAGAUUGUCUUAGGAUAUUCUUCCAUUAUAUCUGGUUUCUAUACUCAUUAAUCCAGUUAAGUAGAAGUUAGUGGAGGAAAGUUGAAUUGAGGUUGUGGGAUACUAGUAGUUGAAUUGAGGGAUAGAAAAUAUUUGCAGGAAAGUUAAAUUCCCCCCUUGAGUAGCUUUGAAAUCACAAUUCCACUUGAUGGGAAUAUAGUUCAUGAACUAGCUACGCUUGUUUCUAGUUGAUAUCGUUAUUAAUAUGCUCAUCAACAACAGCUGAUGCCACCAGUAUGGCAAGCAGCGGAUAACUUAUCGUU
rnacentral:lncRNA from 1 species